rnacentral:rRNA from 1 species
UACGUAGGGGGCGAGCGUUGUCCGGAUUUAUUGGGCGUAAAGCGCGCGUAGGCGGUGCCGUAAGUCGGCCGUGAAAUCUCCAGGCUCAACCUGGAGGGGUCGGGCGAGACUGCGGGGCUAGAGGCGGGCAGAGGCCGGUGGAAUUCCGGGUGUAGUGGUGGAAUGCGUAGAGAUCCGGAGGAACACCAGUGGCGAAGGCGGCCGGCUGGGCCUGUCCUGACGCUGAGGCGCGAAAGCGUGGGGAGCGAUCCGG